CCAGUCCCCUCUCCGCCUCCAACGCCUAGUGCCGCCGCCGCUGUCCACUCCUCUCUCCAUAGCUACCGCCGGAGUCCUCACCCCGUGUACUCUUCACGGAGUCAGUAAGUUUUAUACAGGAUUGAAAGCUGACUCCAGUCUCCAAGUAUCAUUAUCUGCUCUGAAGUUUGAAACCCAUACACCCACGGUUUUCUUCAAGGAUUGAAAGCUGAAUCCAAGUAUCAUUAUCUGCCCUCAAGUUUGAAAACCAUACACCCACGGUUUUCUUCAAGGUCAUGGAAACCAACACUAAUGAACCCUCUGUCCAAACACCAGCUGCUACAGAAGAUGAUGGUGCUAUUCCCACCCAAGUUGAAGAUUCUACUGCUACCCAAGCUGAAGCAGCUGCUGCUUCUGAGUUGCCCCUAGUUCCACCA